rnacentral:rRNA from 1 species
AUUGAACGCUGGCGGCAUGCCUAACACAUGCAAGUCGAGCGUGCGGCGGACGCGUGAGAAUUGUGUGGAGACUGCCCGAUAGAGGGGGAUAACUACAGGAAACGGUGGCUAAUAACGCAUACCGUCGGCUAACCCAUAUGGGAUUAGCUGGUGGGUACGGAAAUGGCUUACCUAGGCGACGAUCCCUAGCUGGUCUGAGAGGAUGAUCAGCCACACUGGGACUGGGACACGGCCCAGACUCCUACGGAGGCAGCAGUGGGGAAUAUUGGACAAUGGGGGAAAGCCUGAUGCAGCCAUGCCGCGUGUAUGAAGAAGGCCUUAGGGUUGUAAAGUACUUUCAGUCGGGAGGCGUUACCGACAGAAGAAGCAACGGCUAACUCCGUGCCAGCAGCCGCGGUAAUUC